rnacentral:tRNA from 1 species
AAGGCUUUAAGUUAAAUAAACUUAUAGCCUUCAAAGUUAUCAAUAUAAGAACAAUCUUUUAAGCCUUA